rnacentral:rRNA from 1 species
GAUGAACGCUAGCGGCAGGCUUAAUACAUGCAAGUCGUGGGGCAGCAGGUCUGUAGCAAUACAGAUGCUGGCGACCGGCAAACGGGUGCGGAACACGUACACAACUUUCCUUUAAGUGGGGAAUAGCCCAGAGAAAUUUGGAUUAAUACCCCGUAACAUAGUGAAAGGGCAUCUUUUUAUUAUUAUAGCAGCAAUGCGCUUAAUGAUGGGUGUGCGUCUGAUUAGGUAGUUGGCGGAGUAAUAGCCCACCAAGCCUACGAUCAGUAACUGGUGGGAGGGCACGACCAGUCACACGGGCACUGAGACACGGGCCCGACUCCUACGGGAGGCAACAGUAAGGAAUAUUGGGCAAUGGACGCAAGUCUGACCCAGCCAUGCCGCGUGGAGGAUGAAGGUCCUCUGGAUUGUAAACUUCUUUUAUCUGGGAAGAAAUCCAUCUUUUCUUGGGUGGUUGACGGUACCAGAUGAAUAAGCACCGGCUAACUCCGUGCCAGCAGCCGCGGUAAUAC